rnacentral:lncRNA from 1 species
UUAUCUUACUAAUAAAAUGCCUAGAAUCAAUUAAUUUUUUAAAUAAAAUAAAUUAUUUCUGUAACGCCCCAAUAGUCCCACAUCGGAUGGGAUACUGAUUUUGAUCAGUUUAUAUGAGACCUACACGCUAAUAGUAAUAAUAAUCGGACUUAAGCAUUUUGGGCCGGUGAUUUAGGCCCAACGAAUUAUUAUUGCUAGCGGGUCGAGUCGUUGCAAUUGGUAUCAGAGCCGAAUACCAGCCGGAAGUGUGAGAACUAAGUGCUAUGCGGGACAAAGUGCUACACCAACGGGUUUGGUGGGAGCCACCUCUUGAACCCGUAGGAGCCACCUCUAGAAUCUCACAUCGCCUGGUAGUGAUUCUGGUCUGUCUGUCUGUGAUCUAGUUUGGGCCCGACGAGGACGUCAGGGUCUAAACAGGGGAUGAGAUACUGAUUUCGAUCAGUUUAUAUGAGACCUACACGCUAAUAGUAAUAACUGGGCUUAAGCAUUUUGAGCCGGUGGUUUGGGCCCAACGAGUUAUUGUUGCUAGCGGGUCGGAUCGUUGCAAUUUCGUAUCUAAUAUAUAUUAUCCUACUAAUAUAUCAU